GAGUGUAGUGGAGUGCAGGCAGAGACACACACACACAGGCAGAGACCAGCAGUCACACUUCAAGAGAGCUUUGUUAACAGACCAAGUCAGAGCUCAUGAUGGCACGGCUCUCACUCCUGUUCGCAUUCCUCUUCUACCCUGUGGGCUUUGGAGAACCUGUGCAUGUGAUUCUGGGAGACCCGGUGUCAUUCCCAGUAAUCGGGAACUGUCUGAAUGAGCCGGUAGACAGACUUUACCGGGUCACAGCGCACAGCAACCGGCCGGUGGUUGCUCGUGAGGACGGUGUCUGCAAACCGGCCGAGGACUACAAAGACAGGGUGGAUGUGAACUCCUGCUUCGCCUUCAGUCGCUCAGUUUACACAGAUACUGGACUUUAUGAGCUCACCUGCGGCAGCCGGGAUCAAAGAGUCCAGCUGAAUGUUGUUGUGGGCUCUGAAGCAUCUGCCACUGAGGGACAACCGGUCCAACUACCGUGCUACUUCAGUCCUGCAGGGGGACAUGUGGACUCUAUACGGUGGGAAAGAAACGGACACACUGUGCUGGAGCGCAAUCUGGCCACUGGAAAGACCAAAUACGGGACCGGGUUUGAGAGAAGAGUGUCUCUGCCGGCUGAUGGCCACAAACACGGAGACUGGUCUCUGAUGUGGGAUCAGGUCCGGCUGGAGGAUGGAGGGGAUUUCUUUUGCUCUGCGCACAGGGGGGACGUGAGAGAGGGGUGGGGAGACCCUGCUGCUGUGAGGAUGAAGGUCACCAAGAGAAACCCAGAUCAGACGACCCCUCACCCACCGCACACUUGCUCCACUGCAGAGAAACACUUGGGAACCGGGGCCAUUGUUGGUGUAACAGCAGCUGUGGGACCUUUUGUUGUUGACCCUGUUUUCUCUGCUGGUUCCUGAACUCUCACUUCUCAUCUGGUUCCAGUGGAAAAAGAUAUUCUGAUGCAAGUCUUCAGGAGUCUUUUAAGGAUUAAAUAGAAGUCCCUGCCAUUAUUAAGUUACAAUUGUUGCCCUUUUUAUAGAUCUCCUUGUUUGUUUUCUCAUCUCUUUUAAUUUAACCUUCUCUCGUUUUAUCUUCCCUAUGUUUGUGUGAUUGGGUAUGGUUAUACCUAUAUGUAUAUUUGUUGUUUGUAAAGCACUUUGGACACUGUGUCAAAAAGGUGCUAUAUAAUUAAAGCUUUACUUACUUACUUACCAUAGCACAAAGCAACAAAAUCAGUAAUGCCUUAGUAGCCUAAUAUUGUCAUGAGUCAUUCCUGCUUACCUUGCAUCCUCCCCCACCCCUGGCAGCUAUGCUGCACAAUAACAACUUUAUCAGGAUUUACACCUGUUAUUAACAUGAAUGACAACUCAACUUUUCUUAUAUUGUACCUUUCAGACAAACAUGCAGCUCAAAGUGCAUCACAUAACAUAUUGAAAGCACACAUAAAACCAAUGAAAUGUAAAACAUGAAAAGUGAGUUCAACAGUUAAGGGGCAUAAAAACCAACCAACUUCUGCUUUUGUUGUUUUUCUAUAUUUCCUUAUGUUCUUUGUGAAAGCUUUUUUUAUUUUUGGUCACAAUCUCACCAGCCUGUUGUAAAAUAAAUAAAUAAAACUUACACUGAGUGAAAAUGUCUCUGGUCUCUGUGUGUUCUUUCUGUGGCGUUGACUCAUGCCUUCCCACACGUAGACAGCGGGCUCUCCCUCAGACUGGGUCAUUCCUGCAGGAGUUGCCUCACCUCAUGAAUAUCUGCUGCCUGCAGGCUCACUUAUGGGUAUUGGUUUAUUUUCAUUAAAAGCCCCUUGCACCUUUUUUACUUUUGAAGAGGCUUUUUUUAAUUGUCAGAGUACUUGUGUUUUUUUCAGACUCCUCUCCCCUGACCUGAGACCUGUGGAAUCCACAUAACUUUUUCAAAAUAAAAUGUAAUUCCUCGUCUUAUUUCAGCACUGUACACAUUUAACUAUUUAAUAUGUGUAUUUAGCAUGUGUAACCCUCAGUCUCAGUCUCUCAAUGAAUUGUACUGACAAAGGGCUUUUGCUGUGUAGUUAGCUGUUUAUUUGGCAGUAUAUGUAACAUGUUUUUAUUUUUUUCUUAAAGCUCUGGUUUAGGUUCAGUGUAUUAAAAAAAACUGUGGAUAUGGCAGACUUCACAAAGACUUGUUUUUGGAUAGCCUUUUCUAAUGGUGCUAAAGCAUGGCCUAUGUAGGCUAUUGGAAAAACACAUUCCUGUUUCUGCUCUCUUAUCUGUGAAAAACAUCAGAAAGUGGUUUCUUUUGCAGGUUAUAAGAACAUGUGCAAAUAUGUCCAGAUCUGGUUUAGAUAGGCAACCUGUCUCUUUCAGUGUUUGUGGUAAGAAGCUCAUUUUGAUACACUCUUUGGAAACUAUUGCUGCCCCCACAAUGAUGUUAGACAAACAGCUUUGGGCCUGUACAGUGAGUCCCUGGGGACCAAGUGUAUGUGUGUGUGUGUGUGUGUGUGUGUGUGUGUGUGUGUGUGUGUGUGUGUGUGUGUGUGAUAUAUGAAGUCAUGCACAGAGGAUGGGUUGUGGUAAACAUAGGAAAUAUGGUGAUCACGUGAGUUUUCUAUGAAGCUGGGCUAUGACUACAGACUUGGUUUCAAGUCAGAUUUAAGUCGUGUCAUACACUUUUGACUCUACUAGUUCUGACCUGAGCCAGCCGUCACUAUAAGAUUUAUCAAAGAGGAACGUCUUAAGACUGUUAAAUGUGGAGAGGGUGUCUGCCUCCCGAACACAAACAGGAAGCUGGUUCCACAGGAGAGGAGCUUGGUAACUGAAGGCUCUGGCUCCUGUUCUAUUUAGAGAGUAUAGGAACCAGCAGUAGCCCAGCAUUCAGAGAGCACAGUGUUCUAGUGGGGUAAUAGGGUAGGUUGAUCUUUGCAAACAAACUCUCAGUUUUUCCUUAGACAGUAUCUUAUCCUGGACACUAUAUAAUCCCCCAAUCGGUGCUUUAAAUGUUCCACCGCCCUUUUACUUAACAUAAAUCCUUCUGUCUUGAAUGAGAAAAAACACAGAUCAGAUGUAAUCUCAGCACACACCACCGUGUAGUUACUUAUUGACCAAGACAAAACAAAUAUUAUCUGCUGGCAUCUCGGCUCAUUUUACACAAUCAUUGCAUCAGAGCUUACAGUUUUCACAGAGGAAAGUAUUAAUGUAAUAAUUCAUGUGUUUUCUAUUACAGCUGCAGGGCACUGAGCUAAUGGUAUUCUAGUGCUGGGUGGGGAGCAUUGAUGCACUAUUUAAUUUAUGAGACAGGAGUGUUGAAGAGCCAGGUGGGUUCAGCAGGAGAGCUGGGGGAAAAGAAAUAGGGUCAUCCCCUCUCUCUGCCAGUCAUCUCACUCUCACUUUCUCUUAACUGCUCCUUCAAGGCACGUACACCUGACCACACCACACAGUGACAGGAAGUGACCCCCCGAGUCGUUACUGUCUAGUGCAUCAACAUGAUCAUGCUAAUGGUAGGUGUGGAAGCUGGUGGUGAAGGUGACGGGUGGUGUUUCAGGGGAGAGAAAAAAGGACUUAAAGCAGUGAUACUGGAUAAUAUUGAGGGUGUUGUAGUGAUUGAAGUUAAGCUGUUUAAAGUAGUAGCAGAGGUCAUAUUCCUGUUACACUGUCACGAAAACAUUUCACAGCUCACAUGAUCAACAGGAAGAUGCAUCAUUGAGGGACAUGGGAAGACCACAAGUACAAUAAAUAAGAUCAUAUUGUAAAUAUUGUAGAUUACUACAUUUCAAAUACCUGCUGAAAGGUCUGGUUACAAAAAAAAAAAACCUGGCAACCUGACAAUUACACAUAUUGAAUAAGUAAACAAACAGACAAAUAGCUUUGGGCCUGAACAGCAAGUCCCCGGGGGUCAUUAAUCAUUAAAGUGUAGAGAGAGAUUCAGCGUGAUGUUCAGGUGAAAUAGGCAAAUAUAUCCAUAAAUCCACUUAUAAUUACGUGAUAGUUGCCAACAGGAAGUGCUGGUAGCUGAUUCAUAAUUUUAGUAUUACUCACUGGCAAUGCACAGCAGUGUUAUCCUUCCUGUUUGCAGCAUUAGAGAGACUGUAGUUCCUAAAGUCUUCAGAGGGCCAUGGGAAGACCACAAGUAACUCCUCUCACUCUGUAUAUUAGAUCAUAUUGUUUGUUUGACUGAGAAUUGUAUUACAUUACCAGCCCUGUUAUGUACAUUAUUUCUUAAAUAGCAUGGAUCUUUUUAAAGAUAGUUUUG
rnacentral:lncRNA from 15 species